UGGGGAAUAUUGGACAAUGGGCGCAAGCCUGAUCCAGCCAUGCCGCGUGAGUGAUGAAGGCCUUCGGGUUGUAAAGCUCUUUCGCACGCGACGAUGAUGACGGUAGCGUGAGAAGAAGCCCCGGCUAACUUCGUG
rnacentral:rRNA from 1 species